GGAGCUGAGAGACUUGGAUUCACCCAUGUUUUAUUAAUGCUUGCUGGCUCUUGCAAAAUGCAACCAAAGUUGAGAGCCCAAGCUAAAUGAUCCUUUGGAUAUUGCAACACACUGUACGCGUCCCUCUGAAGACAACUUGCAGCCUCUGACCAAAACAGAAGUUCACUAUUAGAGCUGCCCCCAAAGAAACCUAUUUAAUAUUGUUUAACUAAGCCUCUCCCAGUCAUUUGUGAGCACAAAAGCCUUUCUCAUGUGAUAAUUACUAAUAACCUAGUAAUACCCAGAAUAUAAUACUGAAAAACCUCCAUUUGGGGGUGGGGAACCUGCGGCCUUGGGGCCACAUGUGGCCUUCUGGAUCCUUGACUGCGGCCAAGGACUUGACUUACUCCAAAUUUUAUAAUACAAAUCCUAUAGAACAAGGACUUUUGACUUACUCCAAAUUUUAUAGAACAAAUCCUAUAGAACAAGGACUUUUGACUUACUCCAAAUUUUAUAGAACAAAUCCUUUUAUUAAAAGAGGGCACAGCAGAGAAAGACGAAGCUUUUAUUGCCUCCUUUGGUACUUAAAAAAAGAACAAUCUUGAAAUCAGAAGGCCACAGGUUCCCCACCCAAUGGUCCCUAGAUGGGGUGAUGACCACUUCUACUUAACUCUCCUGUUUUGUGUUCACCUCUAUAAUUAACAUUCUCUUCAUCAUAUUCUAUGUCUAGAGGUAAGAAGAGAGAACAUUUCACAUACAUAUGUUUAAUAUAUUUCAGAUGUUCUAAACAGCCAAACAUUAAAACAAGCCCAUAAAAGUAUAAACAAAAUGUAUUAGAAUACAUCAAGUCACAAAAUGCAGAAAUAAGAAAGGAAAGAAAAAUAAUUUUGAAUACAUCAAACUUUUAAAUAGCAGAAGACCCCAUAGACUAAAACUAAAAGAAAUUAUAGACUGGGAGGAAAUAUCUACAGCAUACAUAACAAAUCACAAACAUAUGGAAUAUGUAAAGAAGUACUAUAAAUCAACAAGACAAAGACAAAGAGCCCAGACUACAAAUAAAUGAAGGUGUGAGGAGACAGUUCACAGGAGAAAGACAAAUAGCCAAUACUAAAAGAUAUGAAAAGAUGCACAGCCUCAGCCUCAGGGAAAAGCAAACUAAAUAAGACUUCUUUUUUCACACAGGAGAUUGGCACAGAACAUAAGAAGAUUGUUAACAGCAGGUUGUCCUGAGGAGUAGCAAAAGAUUCACUCCAUCACUUAAAACCUGAAAACAUUGGACCACACAGUCUUACUGAUUUCAGGUAAAAACAGUUAUUGAAGAUGUCCAGCAAAACAGCAAGCACCAACAACAUAGCCCAGGCAAGGAGAACCGUGCAGCAGUUAAGACUAGAAGCCUCCAUUGAAAGAAUAAAGGUUUCAAAAGCAUCAGCGGACCUCAUGUCCUACUGCGAGGAACAUGCCAGGAGUGACCCUUUGCUGAUAGGGAUACCAACUUCAGAAAACCCUUUCAAGGAUAAAAAAACUUGCAUCAUCUUAUAGUGGAAUAGUAAAACAGUUCCUGCCUCUCCACAAAGCAAUGAUGAGCAGCUCCUUGAAGAGAUUUACCUUCAGCUUAUUUGGUAACCACUGCUAAUAACUAAAAUGCUCUUAGCUUGGAAUAAUGGACUCUGAAGUCUUUAUUUUCCAAGUUGCUCUUUCUCUAAAAUACCCUAUACAGAAUAACAAUCUUGUUUUCCAUGUGAUAACUUUGGUGUUACAUUGGGUUACUGUUUAAGGAAAGUUGGUCUGGGCCUUUUUAAAAACACGAUUAUAUACUUUCAAUAUACAGUUGAUUCAGAUGUGUCAAAACCUAAAUUGCUUAAGCACCUGCUAAAUCAAAAUGCCAAGAAUAAAUUAAAUCCUGAAAUCUUUGUAUCAUAAUAUGUUCUUAGUAAGGUUGUGCCAACCUGUAUAGUAUACAAGGGGAGGGGUGUUUUGUGUGUAUAUAUAUAUAUGUCUUUGUGUAUACACAUAUCAAAGCUAUUUUCUUAUGAAAACUUCCCUCUCGCUAUACCAUCAGUUUCUCAGUUCCAGAAGUUACAUCUUUAUCUUGAACUGUGAAUGGACUGAAUAAAAAAGUCUUUCGUAGUUAUUAUACAAAAAGUAAAGAACAUCCCAAAGAUUGUAUUCGUUGUAAUCAAGUAAUGCAGUCAUCUCUCCUCUCUUGAAAUCUUUCUGGACUUCUUAGGCUGUGAUAAACUGUGCCAAUUAAAAAAUGUAAACUGAAUUAAAAGCCCUUUGAUAAUAUGCGACAUUAAUUCACAAGGAGCCUUGUGGCUUCAGUGGUCCUAAGUCUAAAAAAGGGGAGGAGACCCUGGGGAGGACUCGGGCAGCUGUGCUACCGGGGCUCAUGUUCUCCACUGGAUUAGGGAUAGACACCUCUGACAUUUCCGCCCUGGUGAUCGGAAUGAGACGAAGUGAACAUGAGCCCAGCCCAGAGAGGAGCAGGAAUGUGUGGAAACCAGCUGCUCUUCUUGGCCCAGCUUUGUGGUUGAGCACUCGCUCUCCUCUCUGGGGUCUUUCAUCUCCUGCCACAGCAUCUAUCUGCAGAGGCAAUGUUCCCGUCCCCGGCCCCAGGUGGGUGGAGCAUGGUGGGAAAAGAAACAUGCAGAAAGUGUAAAGGUAUCAAGACACUCACAGUCUUUUCAAGUGGCUGCAGUUUCAUCCCUGCCUUGUCCACAGACUGAGAGGGGCGUAGGCCACCCAAGUGAGGCUUGGAUUCAGUGGCACACUACUUAGGACCCAAGGGUUUCUGGCAGCUGGGCAACGGGUUCCUUGAUUUUCCCCUGGGAAUGAGUAUAUCCUUCACAUCUUUGGAAUUUCCAGUGGGGAUCCCAAAAGAAGGAAUCUCCUAUGGCCAAGACGGCAUCAAAGAGGAAGCGAGGGUCCUAUUUUAAAUGCUUAUUUAGGGGCUCAAACCAUAUACAAGGCCUUUGUUAUUUUAAUUCAUCUUUAGUUCAUUAAAAGCACCUAAUAAUGAUGGAUUAAAAGCUUACUCUCAGAGAGGACUCAACCCAAGAAAAAAUUAUUUACAGCGGCUUUCCCGAAUUUUAUACAGUCUGCCCUGCAACCCAAACCCCUUUUAAAAUCUAACAUCUAGGCUUUGCAUGUUAUGCUCAUUGAGGGUGAACAAAUGCAGUGCUAUUUUUAAACUGCUCACAUAUAUUCAGUGUUUCUCCAAGUAUCCUAUCGACUCAGCAUUGGGAAUUGCCCUCACUUUUCCAAAGACCACAUGAAAGUCACGGCACUGCCCUUGACCUUGUGUCAUCUGCUGCUCAGUUCUGCGAUAUUCCCAGGUCUCAAAUACAUUAUAGGUACCUGUUUUAGGAAAGAUAAAGGUUUUACCUUUCAAAGGGUGAAAUUUGAUAUGUACACUAAAAAGACAAUUUUACAUUUAAUGCUUCACUUAAUAAGACAUUCUUUUUUUUAUAAGUAUAUUUUUCUACCAGUAGCUUCAGAACAGUAGUCUUAUUUUCACUCUGAUUUUUAGCAUGUGUCUUUGAAUAUUUAUAAUGCAGCUUAUUACAAAAUAUUUUCAUGAAAUUACUUUUAUUAUUUUAUUAUUCUAUUAUGUACACAUUAUUGGUAGCAAGCAUAGUUUAUUCCUUAGUACUAAAAUAUGCUCUUUAACCUAACAGUAAACAAAUAUGUUUUGCUAUAUAUUUGUUAAUAUGCUUAUAGUGGUAGGAAGUGGACUUGAGGUCCUAGGAGAUUUCACUUUAUUUUCCCUGGUCAGAUAUAAUAAAAGUUAUGAAUAUAAAUGCUGUGUAACUUCCUCACCAGGUGUAGGGCAUAUUCAUAAAAAAAUGGAAUCAAAAAUCCUUUAAUGCUGGACCGAAAAAAAAUUGUAACUGAAUAUUGAUUUACUUAUAAAUAGACAUCUAUGUGAGAAAAUAUGUGUGUACAUAUAUAUGUACACACACAUAUGAUAUACAGAAGUCACUUUUAUUUAUCAGGCUUUAUUCUAGUUAUGAAGCCACAGUUUAACUGUCUGCAGCAGUUGGUUUAUGAUAAUGAUAAAUGCCCAGUGUGUCUUACUUUUUCCAACUACCACUAUAAUGACAUACAUACUCACAAGUAUACAUGCAACUUCUUAGCUUCAUUUCCAUGAAGCUAUUUAAAUAUGUUCAAUAUACUUUGCCUUUAAUGCUGCUGCUGUUAAUGGUGAUCUCUUUCUUUUUUUCUUUCUUAUAUCUUUGUUCAUCAUAAAUCAUCUGUCCUAUUGAGGCCUCAGGACCAUGGCAGGAUCUCAUGACUACAAGAAUUUUACAGAAACACAUUUUUUAAUAGGAAAAUAUUUUAUAUACCAGGUGGUUCACAAACUAUGGGUUGUAGCUAAAUACUUUUUUUUCCUAAAAACAAAAAAAGUCAAGUUUUCAAAUUACUUACCUUAUUAAAAUGAAAAGUGCUAUACUUAACCUUUUAAAGGAAAGACCUGAUUUGCUUUCUCCCUGUUUGGACUAUUUUUAUACUUUAAUCUCUUAAACUAUCAGGAAAAAAACCAAAACUUUAUACCAAUGAUUUAGCAAUUUCGAGGCAUAGGUUAGCUUACAUAGUGUGAAAGAUGUGCCAAAUUUUCUCUUCAAAUGCCACCUUCUCAACCAAUCUAUAGCUAAGACAGUGUCCUCUGACUGAUUACUCUGAAUUUUGAUUUAAGAUAUAUAUGGGCCCAAGAAAUGAAUUACAUGUGCAGUGUGUGUUACUUUACAUGCCAGUCAUUUAUCAAUGAAAUACAUAUAAUACCAGACUAUAUUAUGGGUUGUAUUGAUUUCUUUUAUGGUAGACCUGUUAAUAGGAAGAAAAUACAGCAAAUCAGAACUGUGUGUGUGUGUGUAUAUAUAUAUAUAUAGAGAGAGAGAGAGAGAGAGAGAACACGCGUGCACUUACCUGAAGUCAAUGGCUUGGAUUUUAGUGCUGUAUCAUUUUUCUAGUCAGUUCUGUGUCGUGUGACUUUGGACAAGGCACUUCAUCUCUUUGGGCCUCUAUUUCUCCAUUUGUAAAGCAAGGAGCUGGAAGUAGAUGAUGGCUGAGAUUCCUUCCUGCUCCCACAUGCUUCAGUCCAGUGACCCUACCCCUCUGCUGGUCCUGCCCACAUGUUGGUGCUAUAAGCUGCUUCAUAUAUAUAUAAAAUUGGUUUGUCUAUAAUGUAUGCUCAUUUAAUAGCUUAUAAAAGGCCUUUUUGUUAUACAGUACUUUUUUCCCCUAGUUUUAUGGACUUGGUUCCUGUAACAGUGUCUUGUUUUUAGCCAUGUAACUACAAACAUAUAUUCUCUUGAUGUCUCAGUAAACUUGCAUUUGGUAUAUCAUUGAUGAGAUUUUGUUAUUUGUUAACGUUCUUGGCUACUCACCUGUCCGGCAUCUUAUUAACCUUAACACUGUGAUCAUUUGGAAAUCUGUCCUAUGGAAAGAAUAAAAGUAUUCACUUCACAGCUAGCAUGUUCACAGAUUUGAAAGAAGUUCCAUUAAAAGCACUAUUGCUUUCUUUACUGGGUCAGUGCCUCAUUGUAUCGUCUACCUGUGUUUUGCUCAAUAACUUAAUAAAA